AUUUGUGCGGAUGCGGAUGUCUGCUCACUGGCUCCCUCCACACCAAAGCACAGUGCCCUGCAGGAGCCCCGAGGGGAGGAGUGCGUGCUGCAGAGGAGGACCAGUUCCGUAUGUUUUUCUGAGAACUUUGCAGGAGAAGUCAAUGCUUAGCUCUGAAGGGCGGACCUGGAAAGGCCUUGAAGGUGGAGAAAGAAAAGCAGAGGACACAGUGGCCUAAGACUUGGCCCAGGCAGCUGCGAGCUGGAUCUUAAUUCUCCGACCAGGGAUUAAUCCUGCACCCCAUCCUGUGGAAGCAUGGAGUCUUGGAUCGCCAGAGAAGUCCACUCAGUCAUUUGAAGCUGAGUGAGUUUCUACAGCAGCCUCCUCUCUCCUCCACCCUUUCCCAUGGGCAAUCCCUUCAUCUCAGCUCAAAUGAAG
rnacentral:lncRNA from 1 species